GAUGCUGUGAGUUCCAACAGGAGAGCAGGAGCUCCCAUCAGACCACCUUCGAUAUCAACAUGUUCUUUGUGCUGCUGCUGUUGGCUGGUUGGUCCUGUGUGAAGUGUGAGCAGCUGACACAGCCAGCACCUGUGAAUGUGCAGCCAGGUCAGAGUCUGACCAUCACAUGUCAGGUAUCUUAUUCUCCAGACAGCUGGAGGACAGCUUGGAUCAGACAGCCUGCAGGGAAAGAACUGGAGUGGAUUAUAAUUGGAGGCAGUGGAUAUACCACAUACUACAAAGAUUCACUAAAGAAUAAAUUCAGUAUUAGCGCUGACUCUUCCAGCAAGACAGUGACUUUAAGUGGACAGAAUAUGCAGCCUGAAGACACUGCUGUGUAUUACUGUGCCAGAGAGUGACAGUAACAGAAACCAUCAGCAGGCCCGAACAAAACCUCUUAGUGGCUGAGCAAUUGUAGCAUGAAGCCACCAGAGGAGGAGCCCUUAGACCACUAAAGAAUUGAUGGGUGAAUUUACUCAAAAAAAUAAAUUGGGAAAUUCCUUAGU